UAUACUGUGUUUAGUUACUCCAUGCUGAAGCCGACUAUAACCGUGCUGUUUUUUUCUGUUGAGUAAAUAUACGAGUAUUAUUGGUUUGAUGGUCCUCAAAGCCCAUCCUUUGAAGAAUUAUCUUCUCAAUUGCAAGAUUUAGAUACCACGGAAGAUCAGAAUGAAGAAGAUACUGAUGAAGAUGAGGAGAGUGAUGCCAGUAGUGAGGAUGAAUGUUUUUCUGAUGAGUCAGAUGAAAAUUAAUUACUUUUUUAUAUAAAAAUAUCUACUUUUUCAUGUAUGUUACAUAAUAAAGUUGAUUUAUUUCAA